rnacentral:miRNA from 1 species
AUGUCUAUAAACACACACACACAUAUAUAUAUAUAUAUAUAUAUAUAUGUGCGUUGUAUGCACAC